GAGAGAUGACAAAUACAAAUAGAUAGAAGGGAGAGAGAGAGAGAGAGAGAGAGAGAGAGAGAGAGAGAGAGAGAGAGAGAUGUAUCAAAUGCUAUGGGCUAUGGCAACCCAUUCACUGAGCUGUAAUGAUGAUGGGGCGCAUGUGGGUUGGACUCAGAACUCCCUGCUCCUCAUUCUCUCUCUCUCUCUCUCUCUCUCUCUCUCUCUCUCUCUCUCUCUCUCUCUUGUGUAACAACAAGGAGAGAAUUUAAAUAGUGAGCAGAAACAUAUGUAAGGGAAAGAAGUUUAUAUAUAUGUACUAACUAGGAUGAAUGUGAUGAG
rnacentral:lncRNA from 1 species